GUCGAGCGAAUCGAUGGGAGCUUGCUCCCUGAGAUUAGCGGCGGACGGGUGAGUAACACGUGGGCAACCUGCCUAUAAGACUGGGAUAACUUCGGGAAACCGGAGCUAAUACCGGAUACGUUCUUUUCUCGCAUGAGAGAAGAUGGAAAGACGGUUUACGCUGUCACUUAUAGAUGGGCCCGCGGCGCAUUAGCUAGUUGGUGAGGUAAUGGCUCACCAAGGCGACGAUGCGUAGCCGACCUGAGAGGGUGAUCGGCCACACUGGGACUGAGACACGGCCCAGACUCCUACGGGAGGCAGCAGUAGGGAAUCUUCCGCAAUGGACGAAAGUCUGACGGAGCAACGCCGCGUGAACGAAGAAGGCCUUCGGGUCGUAAAGUUCUGUUGUUAGGGAA
rnacentral:rRNA from 1 species